UCGUACAACGUGUGUGAGGCGUGUGAGGGCUGUCGCUGACUUUUUGACACAAAAGUCGUGCACGCCGGAGCACGUCCUCUCUCUCACAUAAAAUCCAUCUCACCCUUUUGUGCACCACCGCGCGGGCACCCUUUGGGAUGCUUGCGUUUUCACACAAACCCCUUUUAAAAAAGUGUAGAAUGACCCCACUUUGCGAUGACACGCAAUCAAUA
rnacentral:misc_RNA from 1 species